AUACGGAGGGUGCGAACGUUAAUCGGAAUUACUGGGCGUAAAGCGCGCGUAGGCGGUUUGAUAAGUGGGAUGUGAAAGCCCCGGGCUCAACCUGGGAACUGCAUUCCAAACUGUCAGGCUAGAGUAUGGUAGAGGGAGGUAGAAUUUCCUGUGUAGCGGUGAAAUGCGUAGAUAUAGGAAGGAAUACCGGUGGCGAAGGCGGCCUCCUGGACCAAUACUGACGCUGAGGUGCGAAAGCGUGGGGAGCAAACAGGAUUAGAAACCCUAGUAGUCC
rnacentral:rRNA from 1 species